AACGAACGCUGGCGGCAGGCUUAACACAUGCAAGUCGAACGGGUGUAGCAAUACAUCAGUGGCAGACGGGUGAGUAACACGUGGGAACCUUCCUAGGGGUACGGAACAACUCAGGGAAACUUGAGCUAAUACCGUAUACGUCCGUAAGGAGAAAGAUUCAUCGCCCCUAGACGGGCCCGCGUCGGAUUAGGUAGUUGGUGGGGUAACGGCCUACCAAGCCUACGAUCCGUAGCUGAUCUGAGAGGANGAUCAGCCACACUGGGACUGAGACACGGCCCAGACUCCUACGGGAGGCAGCAGUGGGGAAUCUUGGACAACGGGCGCAAGCCUGAUCCAGCCAUGCCGCGUGAGUGAAGAAGGCC
rnacentral:rRNA from 1 species